rnacentral:lncRNA from 1 species
GCAUCUCUCCAGUUUGAAGAAGAUGGCAAAAUGUUGCCCUUGCAUAACAUCAGAAGAUCCCUAAUGUCUGCCUUGAAGAGCUCUCGACAGUAGCAGCAAUGAACUACAGGAGGAAAUAGAUUUUGGACUUAAAGAGGUAUAUUCCAUGAGAAAAUUAGACUACUGACUUACAAUCUGAAAGAAAAAUGUUUGAUUGAGUUCAGCAACAGAUAUAAUUAACAGAAACAUAUUACAUACCCCUGAAAUCGACCAUGCAAGAAACAAUAUAAAAUUAAGACACCUCGGAUUGCUGCUCAUCUAGGCACUAAGAAAACAAGCAAGCAAACAAGCAGAAAAUCCAGGUCAUGAAUCAUGCUGUCCUUGGAUAACCCGGUGUCACCCAGAAUCUCUGUGUCCCUUGGAAAUGUAGACUUUCUCCAACCGCCUCUCCCUCCUUGGUGGAUAUAACAGUUUUGGAUUAUUGCUUGCUCUUGAAAUGUGUUGUUUCAAAGGAACACAUUAUUUUGGACAUGCAAAUCAGAUGAAACAUUAAAGGGGAGAGAAGCCUGAAGAACAAAGCAGCCACAGAUCAACAGGAGUAUAGUUUAUUAGAGGUUGGUUAGAGACUUUUUGCUA